CACUUGUCCGAUACGACAACUACUCCGAUCACGGUCUUCAACCUUACUGUGGUCCGGCUGGGCCGUUUGAGAGUAUAAUAUCUGUGUGAUUGCAUCGAAAAUAAUGUAAUAGGUUCUCGUGCGACGGUUGCAAUGUUUUACGCGAUAAAAUUCUGGAUGAUAUCCACGUUGGAAGAAUGCUACCGUUAAUUUAUCGCAUAUCACGUCUUCCUGUCGGCCAAAAUAAAAAAUAAAAAUCGCGAUGCUGCAUACACUAUUGCCUAUUCAUAUCUUAAAAGGAGUUUUAAUCAACUUAUUUUUUUAGAAGUAAUUAUUCAAGAAUCAACUAUCAAGAUGGAUAAAUAAUAAUUCAUAUGAUUGACGUAUUGUGUAUUAAGAGAACGCUACACCCGCAUGUGUUGACUCCGUCUUACAAAAUAUGUAAAACAUAGAAAAAUCUGUUUUGCGCGAGAAAAAACCGAGAAGGCUAAAGUAGUAGUCAUAGCCCAUAGGUAACUAAGAAACGAAAUUUUCACCACAUAAAAAAAGGGACCUUGACUGUGAAAUAUCGUUUUUAUUUUUUCGAUAUCGGAACUACAAAAAGAGAUAUUUAAAAUAAUGGGUUUUGAAACAAAAUGAACUUUUUUAUAUAAUAAGUGAUAUAAAAAAAUAAAUAAAAACCGAUAUUUCACAGAUAAUAUUCUCAACUAUGUUCGUUAUCAAUUUGGAGUCACUACAGCAGUACAGCCUGAGUAAUUCUAUCUCGCACGAAACAAUUUUUAGUUUGUUAAUUGUUUUACGUGUAUGAGAUGGAGACAACACAUGCGGGUGUAGAGUACUCUUAAAAUAUAUAUUAUCUAUAUAUAUGAAAUUUAAAAACAAGUCAUUAAAACAAUAUUUAUUUUCUCAUUGCAAUAUUGCAUUAACUAAAGUAUAAUUAUUUUAAGUACCUAAAAAAAUAAAUCAACCUACCAUAAAGAUGAUGCGUGUGUAACAUGUGUGCAAAUUCAAAACUGUAAUAGUCACAUAACGAGUAUAUCUACAUAAAAAUAGUACCGACCCAAUUUGUUUAUAUUCUAUUAAUAAUUAAAUUUGUUUUUAUGAAUUUAUUACACUUUUUUUGUUCACACUUCUUUAUUUUUAAUAUAUAUUUUUCAAAAUUUUCAGGCGUA